rnacentral:rRNA from 1 species
GCAUGGAAGAAGCUUGCUUCUUCUGAUGGCGACCGGCGCACGGGUGCGUAACGCGUAUCAAACCUGCCUCAUACUCGGGUGAUAGCCUUGCGAAAGUAAGAUUAAUACCCGAUGUUGUUAUGUUACCGCAUGGUGAUAUAACCAAAGAUUUAUCGGAUAUGAGAUGGUGAUGCGUCGCGAUUAGGUAGUAGGCGGGGUAACGGCCCGACCUAGCCUUCGAUCGGUAGGGGUUCUGAGAGGAAGGUCCCCCACACUGGAACUGAGACACGGUCCAGACUCCUACGGGAGGCAGCAGUGAGGAAUAUUGGUCAAUGGACGAAAGUCUGAACCAGCCAAGUAGCGUGCAGGAUGACGGCCCUCUGGGUUGUAAACUGCUUUUAGUUGGGAAUAAAAAAGAGGACGUGUCCUCUAUUGUAUGUACCUUCAGAAAAAGGACCGGCUAAUUCCGUGCCAGCAGCCGCGGUAAUACGGAAGGUCCAGGCGUUAUCCGGAUUUAUUGGGUUUAAAGGGAGCGUAGGCGGAUUAUUAAGUCAGUGGUGAAAGACGGUGGCUCAACCAUCGUUAGCCAUUGAAACUGGUAGUCUUGAGUGCAGACAGGGAUGCUGGAACUCGUGGUGUAGCGGUGAAAUGCUUAGAUAUCACGAUGAACUCCGAUCGCGAAGGCAGGUGUCCGGGCUGCAACUGACGCUGAGGCUCGAAAGUGUGGGUAUCAAACAGGAUUAGAUACCCUGGUAGUCCACACAGUAAACGAUGUAUACUCGCGGUUUGCGAUACAAUGUAAGCCGCCAAGCGAAAGCAUUAAG